AUGAAGAGUUUGAUUCUGGCUCAGAAUGAACGCUGGCGGCGUGCUUAACACAUGCAAGUCGAGCGAGAACGUUCCUUCGGGAACUAGUACAGCGGCGGACGGGUGAGUAACACGUGAGAAUCUGCCCUUCAGUGAAGAAUACUCUCGGGAAACCGAGGUUAAUGCUGCAUACGUCCCUUCGGGGAGAAAAGUGGCUUUUGCUGCUGCUGAAGGAUGAGCUCGCGUACUAUUAGCUAGUUGGUGGGGUAAAGGCCUACCAAGGCAAUGAUGGUUAGCCGGCCUGAGAGGGUGAUCGGCCACAUUGGAACUGAGAUACGGUCCAGACUCCUACGGGAGGCAGCAGUGAGGAAUUUUGCGCAAUGGGCGAAAGCCUGACGCAGCGACGCCGCGUGGGGGAUGAAGGUUUUAGGAUCGUAAACUCCUGUUAAGUGGGAAGAAAAGCCUGUCAAUAAUACGGACAGGUCAUGACGGUACCAUUAGAGAAAGCACCGGCU
rnacentral:rRNA from 1 species